rnacentral:lncRNA from 1 species
CAACUUCCUUCUUUGGACGGACAUGAAGAGAACUCUCAGCGCAGUGGUACAUCAAACAGUGCAGCAUUUAAGUCUGAACUUUUUCCACAGUGGGUAGAUCAUCAUGGUACAGGACUUGGAGCUCUCUGAAUAUGUCACCAUGCAUGAGUCUGGGAGGUUUAAGGAGACUUCAACAGUGAGCAGUGGCUCUGAGCAAUCAGAGCGAAGACUCUUCAGGAUAGGUAUUUGUGUAUUAGGACUCUUGUGUAUCCUGCAAGCAGCUCUGAACAUCACUCUGCGACUUGCCUUUCAAUCCAAAGAGGGCGUUGCUGAGUUUUCCUUCAACAGCUCUAUGUUAGAAAACUUAUGUCAGGCUGAGCAACUUCAACAAAAUUCAACCCAACAAUGUUCCUGCUGCAACAACCUGCUGAGAUGGUUACUGAAGGAGCACGAAGCCUUAAAAAGACAAAGAGACUUGAUGAACGACAUGAUGGGUCAACUGAGCAGCAGCUGCACCACAGCCAGUGGAGAUUUCACCUCUGGCUCUGGUGACUAUGCCGAGUAUGAAUAUGGUUACGAGUAAUGAUGAAAUGUUGUGGCAUCAUGAGUAUAAAGGACCAAUGCUAAGCUUAGUUUGAUCAAAUGUGUAGUUAUUUUAUCUAAGCUAAAACGAAACAUCAAGUAUAGUAAACUGUAAAAUGAUAUACGUAGGCCUGUUUUUUUCUUUUACUGCUGUUAAAGCAGUGAGUGUAAAAGUAGGUGAAAAUCACAAAAAGACCAAGAUAAGAGCUACACAUGUGGAAAGGAGUUCCGCUUUCAGAAAGCUAGAAUACAUUUUGUGUAUCUUUCUAAUUCCAUAUUUUGACAUUUUGGAAAAAGUGUGUAUGUUGGAUUAAAGAACUGCAGAAUUAAUCUCAUUAGUCUAGUUUUGGGGCCAAACCGCAUCAUGCAGCUGAUGAUUAUAGUGCGUUAUUUAGAAAAAAAGGUUUCUUACAUAAGCUGGUAAAGACUAGAGAGAGCAAAAAUGACAAAGAGUAUUAGAUCUGCUUUAUUAUUUAGGGCCAGCCACAAUGCCUGGCACAACAGUAUAAUAACAUUAUAAAUCCCAAUAUUCAACAGCUGUCUUCUCACUUACUAGUUAUAUUAUGAUAAAAGGUUAAAUGACAUGUCGUGACAGAUGUCUUCAUGUCUGCAUCAACCAGGAGAAGUGAAAGAGAAAGUCCUGACUAAGGCCUCUAACCCAGAAAAAGUGGUCAGCUUCUUUCUAGAUGCUGCUGCAGUGUCAGCUACAAAACACAUUUUGUGGUUUAGUUGUACAUGUAUUUUUUUUAAACAGUGGUUUUUAUCAAAAAUGCAAUGUAAGUAAAAUAAAAAUCUCAUUAACUUGAGCUUGUGAUGGGCU